rnacentral:rRNA from 1 species
AGAAUCAACGCUGGCGGCGUGCCUAACACAUGCAAGUCGCACGAGAAAGGGGAGCAAUCCCUGAGUAAAGUGGCGCACGGGUGAGUAACACGUGAAUAAUCUACCUCCGAGUGGGGAAUAACUGAGAGAAAUCUUAGCUAAUACCGCAUAACACUUACGAGUCAAAGCAGCAAUGCGCUUGGAGAGGAGUUCGCGGCCGAUUAGUUAGUUGGCGGGGUAAUGGCCCACCAAGACGAUGAUCGGUA